UAACUUCAGUUUCAGUUCUCCAGAAGUAAUUUCAGUAACUUUCCUUGAAUAACAAUAUUGUUCAUAGUUAUUCACUCAUCUCUGUGAGAUUUGGGUGUGUAUAUAAGUAUGUGUUUUCAAACUAGUCUACAGAGUAUAUCUGAAUAAAAACCUGGGGAUUCUAUUGGGCAAAAAAAAGAAAAAAGAAUAGUUCAUAUGGUGGUCAAAUGGGAUCUGCACAACAAGUCUUUAAAUACAUUUCUUUUAAGAUAAUUGACAAAUAGGGAAAAAAGGUAAACCACCAGUAAAAAAGCAGGAAAAGAAUAAAGGCAGGAUUUGCCCUCUUUGGGCCAACAAGACAUCUUAUCUUUCAUUUAAACAGAUUCCCUGAUCACACCAGAAGCAAAUUAUCAGAAAUAAAUGGAUAUAAGGAAACUUACCAGUGAAGAAGCAAUUUCUUCAGCAAAGUCCAACUAGAGUCAUGUUUGGGCUUUUUGGUACAAUCACUACUGAGCCUUUCAACUUAGAAGGUUAGAGACCAAGGCUCAAUUCUGUUGAUAUUACUGUGUCAUUCAAAGUCUACAAAAUGUAU